rnacentral:lncRNA from 1 species
GUCUGAGUUUUCAGACUGACAGCAAAAGAACAGAGUUCUGGAAUUCUGAGGGAGCCGCUACUGUUGAAGAGAGACAGUUAAGCCUAGGGCUGUGGCUUUUUCCCUCUGGGUGGAUGUGAGGAGAAUUAGCUUUUCCUUGUGCCAUUUGAUAGCUUAUUCAUCACAUCUUACUGUUGUUUGGAUUAUCCUGUAUCUGUUGGCCUUUUGACAUCUACUGAGCUCCUGUACUGUGACAACUAACAGCUGAUUUGCCAAGGAGCCAUGGUUAGUCUGUAUCACAGUGAACAUUUGGAUGCUAAGCUUCUGAGUUCCCUGCCGUUUUCCAAGUGAAAAGAGAGUUGAAGAUUGUGGAGAGAUCGUGACUUACUAGAGGAUUCUCGCCCCUUAGUCCACUAGAGCUGAGAUGGCUAGCUUAUAGUGCUGGGGAAAUCGUAGUAAGAAGCAGUGAUUGUCAGGGAUUGUCAUUCCCAGCAGCCAUCAGUAGCCACCACAGGAGCAGCAAGGAGCAAAUAUGCAUCAAGAAAAACAUCAGUCCUGAAACCCUGUAAUGGUGGUUUUGGGUAGUCGAGGAAAGGACGAACUGGAUGGCUUCAGAAAAAUCUGUGAAGAUUUGUGUGAACUAACUCAGAGUAAAAUAAGCAUAACCAGGAGGCCACUGGACUCAGGAACAGCGAUAUUGAAGCAAGACCGUGCUAAAGGACUCAUGAUUAAACCUCAUUCUGACAAGGCUUCAUUAGAUGGCAAAAGAGGACCAUGA